GGGCGGAGCUCCAGGGCUUCAGCUCCUGUACCCCCAAGCCCAGCUCGCACACCAGCUGGAAGUGGGGAUCAGCACUGCGCGUGACGGUGGGAGGCGGGGAGACGGACAGUCACCCCCAGAGACACAAGGUCCCUGCCGGGUCACCUGGGGAUGCGUCCGCCGGGCCUGAAUCGAACACGCCCACGCUCGAGAUGGGGACCGCCCAGGCAGGGCUGGAUUCCUCGAAAACGGCCGCCACGCCCCGGCCCCCCCAGCCACGUGAACCCCACAAAGUGCUGAGUAACGGUGACCGGGAAGUAUCUCGGUGUCUCUGAGUGGUUCUUGACCACCUCAUUCAUCAUAGCCAAACGUGCUCGAUGAUACUGCACAUUCCUGGACCACACCCAGACAGACAUACAGAAUCAGUCUUUUGAGAAUUUCUGGUAAUGAUGCAGAAGUAGGCUUGGAAACCAAGCAGAAGACAGGAAGGUAUUUAGCAGCCUGGAAGAUGCCUGAUAAACCCAGUCUGAUGAGGGCUCUCCUGCCUUCACCACUCAACACUCUGCUGCUACCAGAAACUGGAUGCCAUUGGAUAAGGGUUGUCAGACAAAAUACAAGGACACAAUUGGAGAAACCGGUUAUUUUACCAAAGCUUUGGAAUGGUGUACUUUCCCUUAAGGAAUCAAAUUUGACUUAUGGAAACAAUAAAAGUCCCUUGGGAAAACUGGCCUCAUACCUUGUCUACACAGUUUCUGUACAGGAUUCCUGACCUGUGGGUCUUGCUCUGUCACUGAAGCUGGAGUGCGGUGGUAUGAUCUUGGCUCACUGCAACCUCCGCCUCCCGGGUCCAGGUGAUUCUUCUGCCUCACACUCCUGAGUAGCUGGGAUUAUAGACAUGUGCCACCACAUUCGGCUAAUUUUUUUUUUUUUUUUUUUUUUGUAUUUUUAGAAGAGAUGGGGUUUCACCAUCUAGGCUACCACCUGCUAGGCUGGUCUCGAACACCUGGCCUCAAAGUGAUCUGCCUGCCUCGGCCUCCCAAAGUGCUGAGAUUACAGGUGUAAGUCACUGCAUCUGGCCUGUACAAUAUAAUUUUAUAAUUUAUAAUGAUAUUAUAUUCUCUUUUUUAAAAAGAGGAGUUUACUAAAGCAUUGAAUAGUAUGAAUAAGAUGAAAAGAAUAUGUCUAAUAAAAAUUUUUAAAAUUUC